GUAAUACUCCCUCCGUCCGGAAAUACUUGUCGGAGAAAUGGAUAUAUUUUUAUCCAUUUCUCCGACAAGUAUUUUCGGACGGAGGGAGUAUUUC
rnacentral:pre_miRNA from 1 species